ACUAUCGCCUGCUGCUGCUCGCACAGUUUUGCCAGCAUGUGCAAGGUGGAGUUCCACCUUGUGGGCACGUCGCAUAUGAGACGGUGAGCGGGAGGGCCGAAGUUACGCUGCAGCGCUGACAGGCAAGCAGCAGGGUGAGAACGCCGAAAGCGCGCACAG